CAGUAGCCGCGGGAAUACGUAGGGUGCAAGCGUUAAUCGGAAUUACUGGGCGUAAAGCGUGCGCAGGCGGUUCGGAAAGAAAGAUGUGAAAUCCCAGAGCUUAACUUUGGAACUGCAUUUUUAACUACCGGGCUAGAGUGUGUCAGAGGGAGGUGGAAUUCCGCGUGUAGCAGUGAAAUGCGUAGAUAUGCGGAGGAACACCGAUGGCGAAGGCAGCCUCCUGGGAUAACACUGACGCUCAUGCACGAAAGCGUGGGGAGCAAACAGGAUUAGAUACCCCCGUAGUCCCUGUCUCUUAUAC
rnacentral:rRNA from 1 species